UAAGGAAUAUUGGUCAAUGGACGCAAGUCUGAACCAGCCAUGCCGCGUGGAGGAUGAAGGUCCUCUGGAUUGUAAACUUCUUUUAUAUGGGACGAAAAAGGGCUUUUCUAAGUCAACUGACGGUACCAUAUGAAUAAGCACCGGCUAACUCCGUGCCAGCAGCCGCGGUAAUACGGAGGGUGCAAGCGUUAUCCGGAUUCACUGGGUUUAAAGGGUGCGUAGGUGGGUUGGUAAGUCAGUGGUGAAAUCCCCGAGCUUAACUCGGGAACUGCCAUUGAUACUAUCAGUCUUGAAUACCGUGGAGGUCAGCGGAAUAUGUCAUGUAGCGGUGAAAUGCUUAGAUAUGACAUAGAGCACCAAUUGCGAAGGCAGCUGGCUACACGAUUAUUGACACUGAGGCACGAAAGCGUGGGGAUCAAACAGGAUUAGAUACCCUGGUAGUCCACGCCCUAAACUAUGGAUACUCGACAUACGCGAUACAC
rnacentral:rRNA from 1 species